rnacentral:rRNA from 1 species
UACGAAGGGGGCUAGCGUUGCUCGGAAUCACUGGGCGUAAAGGGUGCGUAGGCGGGUCUUUAAGUCAGGGGUGAAAUCCUGGAGCUCAACUCCAGAACUGCCUUUGAUACUGAGGAUCUUGAGUUCGGGAGAGGGAUGCGGAAUUCCAGGUGUAGCGGUGAAAUGCGUAGAUAUCUGGAGGAACACCGGUGGCGAAGGCGGCAUCCUGGACCGGCACUGACGCUGAGGAGCGAAAGCCAGGGGAGCAAACGGG